UACCGGAUAACAACAGAUGAUGCCUAUCAACUGUUUAAAAAGAUGGUUCUGCUAUCACUCUUGGAUGGACCUGCGUGCAUUAGCUAGUUGGUAGGGUAACGGCCUACCAAGGCGAUGAUGCAUAGCCGAGUUGAGAGACUGAUCGGCCACAUUGGGACUGAGACACGGCCCAAACUCCUACGGGAGGCAGCAGUAGGGAAUCUUCCACAAUGGACGCAAGUCUGAUGGAGCAACGCCGCGUGAGUGAAGAAGGGUUUCGGCUCGUAAAGCUCUGUUGUUGGUGAAGAAGGACAGGGGUAGUAACUGACCUUUGUUUGACGGUAAUCAAUUAGAAAGUCACGGGCUAACUACGUGCCAGCAGCCGCGGUAAAAU
rnacentral:rRNA from 1 species